rnacentral:lncRNA from 1 species
UCUGUGAGAGACUGGGACUCUGAGAAGACAGGAAGAGACUUGGAAGAUCCUAGAGGCAGUCUAUCCUCAUCACUUGACAGAUGGGACAGCAAGGCACAAGGAAGCAGUACAGUGGUGGGCAGCACCCAGACAGAACCCUAGUUUCCUGUCUUCAUGUCUCUCAGAUGUCAGUAUUCAUCCUACCAUGCUGUAGUUGGCAAUCCCUUUGUCUGGACAGAUAACAGGGUUUGGAUUUGUUUUUUGCUGUUGUUGUUGUUGUUUUGUUUUUGUUGUUGUUGUUUUGUUUUGUUUUUCAUGCCUGUGCUUUAGAGGGAAAAAGUAUUCAGUUUGGGAUUUCCUAGUCUUUAGAGUAGGAUUCAAAGAGACCCCCAUUUAAAAUAGAUUCUCCUCUCCCUCCCUCUGUUCCUCCCCUCUCCUCCACCAGCUUUGCACCCCACUUUCAGAUAGCCUUAGCUGUGUGUGGAACACCAAAUAAAUGGGAUCCCUGCCUCUGACAAGCCAGGACAGGUAUUGUCUCCUCAUCACUUUCCCCAGGGAAUCGCUUCCCUUUCAAGCUUAGACACGAGGUUCCAUCCUCCCUUCCCUGGAUUUUUCUCUGAUCUCCCAAACAUGGAUUAUUAACAUCUCUAGGUUCUCAUCUUCUACUGAAUAUAACUCUUUUCAGGUCCACUGAAAUUAUUUUUAUACAUGUGUCCCCAGUUAUGCUUUGUGGUCUAGAGGACAAGGUCUGUGUUUAAUGCUAAAGGAUAUAAACUAAACCAGUAGCAGUUUUCCUGUAUCCAUGAGUUUACUUUCCAUGAUUCCAGUUAUGGUCCACUGGUGCUCAUGGAUGUCAAGUGGAAAACUCCAUAGAUAACUUGUAAGAGUUAGUCCACCACCCUGACUUUCUAAUGAAAUGCCAAGCAUCUUGCUCAGCCAUCAACUUUGUCCACCCAGCGACCAUCUGGGUUAUCUAAUUGACAGCUGCAGUACUUGGGUUCAAGUAACCUUUACUUAACGGUGGCCCCAGAAAAGAAGAAGCAAUGAUGCAUCUCAGAUAGAGUGUGGUGGGGCAUAAAGGGAUUUAUUAACUGGAAAAGUAAAAGUUUCCUGUUGAAAAAAAAAAUCUGUGCUGCUGUCUAGGCCCAAAAGACCCAGCCAGACCCAUCAUAAAGCAGUGUGCCCUAACCCUGACUAACUCACAGUUUCACUCAGAGUGGAAGAGAAUCUGAGGAAGAGACACAGAGUUCACUGCUUAAAAUAAAAACCAUGACAUGGAGAGCUCCAUCCUACCUGUGUGCCAUGAGAGUGUUGUAGUGUUCCUGGUGGUAAGGGGAUGUUCCCUUACAUACUGUCAUCGACAAUCCUUCAGCAGAGCGCUGUCUCAGAGUCCACACUGACACCUUCAACUCAGAGACAAAGCCUUUAGGACUGACCCCAGCUAAUCUUCUGCCCUGCUGCUCGCCAGUGUUGAUGCUGAUCAUCACAAGCUGCCCCUGAUCUUCAAUGAACAUCUUGGCUUGUGAACUUCACUCUCAUCCUGUGAUUUAUUUAACACUACUAAAUGAUAAUAC